rnacentral:lncRNA from 1 species
GGCGCCUGUAUUCCCAGCUACUCGGGAGGCUGAGGCAGGAAAAUGGUGUGAACUCGGGAGGCAGAACUUGGCAGUGAGCUGAGAUGGCGCCACUGCACUCCAGCCUGGGGGACAGAGCGAGACUCCGUCUCAAAAUAAAUAAAUAAAUUAAUUAAUUAAUUUUUGCCUGGGCACAGUGGCUCACGCCUGUAAUCCUAACACUUUGGGAGGCUGAGGCAGGUGGAUCACCUGGGGUCAGGAGUUCGAGACCAGCCUGGCCAACAUGGCAAAACCCCAUCUCUACUAAAAAUACAAAACUUAGCCAGGCAUGGUGGCAUGCGCCUGCAAUUUCAGGUACUAUGGAGGCUGAGGCAGGAGAAUUGCUGGGAGGUGGAGGCUGCAGUGAGCCAAGAUCGCGCCACUGCACUCCAAUGUGGGUGACAGAGUGAGACUCCAUCUCAAAAAUAAAUAAAUAAAUAAAAAAUUUUUUUUGAGACAGUCUUGCUCUGUUUCCCAAGUUGAAGGGCAGCGGUGCUAUCACAACUCACUGCAGCCUCAAGCUCCUGGGCUCAAGUGAUCCAUCACACCCGGCUACAUCACACCUGGCUAAUUUUUGUAAUUUUUGCAGGGGUGGGUUUUUUUUUUUUUUUUUUUUUUUUUUUUGGAGACGGAGUCUUGCUCUGUCGCCCAGGCUGGAGUGCAGUGGCGCAACCUGGGAUGAGGUCUUAUUAUGUUGCCUAAGCUGGUCUUGAACUCCAGGCUCAAGUGACCCUCCUGCCUCGGCCUCCCAGCUAGCUGGGAUUACAGGCACGCACCACCAUACCUGGCUAAUUUUUUAUUUGUUGUAGAGAUGGGGUGUCACUAUAUUGCCCAGGCUGGUCUCAAACUCCUGGCCUCAAGCAAUCCUCCCACCUUGGUCUCCCAAAGUGUAGGGAUUACAGGUAUGAGCCACUGCACCCAGCCAAAAAGUUUUUUAAAAAAGAAAAACUAGUGGCCGGGCACAGUGGCUCACGUCUGUAAUCCCAGCACUUUGGGAGGCCGAGGCAGGUGGAUCUCCUAAGGUCAGGAGUUCGAGACCAGCCUGGCCAACCUGGUGAAACCCCGUCUCUACUAAAAAUACAAAAAUUAGCUGAGUGUGGUGGUGCUUGCCUGUAAUCCCAGCUACUCAUAGGAGGCUGAGGCAGGAGAAUAGUUUGAACUUGGGAGGCAGUGGUUUCAGUGAGCUGAGAUUGUGUCACACCACGAGAGUGUGCCCACUUUAGCCUGGGCGUCAGAGUGAGACUCUGUCUCAUAAAUAAAGAGAAAAAAUAAAUUGGCAGAGCCACACAGAGUGUAAGAAACUAAUCAGAUCUAUUCAGCUAGAAAAGCAAUUUUGCACAACUGUGUCCAUUUUCCCCCUAAGGAGUUUUACACCUUUAUGCAAAUGGGGAGGUUGUGGGAAAUUGGAAUUUAAUGUUAAUUUGCAUUUCUGACCAUGGAAGGGUAGGUGAAAUGUGCCUUCUUUUCUAUGGCAUAGAUAAGACAGUGGCACUCUGAGAGGCUCAAAUGGAAGCUUCCUCUCCCAAAAGCCAUCCCCAGCAUACCUGUAAAACAAAAGUGGCGCAUCUCAGAAGGACCUUGGUGGUGUCGCUGGAAUGUUGAUCAACAAGAAUGAUACCUGCAAGGUGUAACUGCGCUUUGCAUUCCCUGAAGUACAGUAGGUGCCCCAUAAACAUCUGAUGGCUGGAUGAAUUAGUAAGUAAACGAGCUCUUUAUUUAAAGGUCCCACCCCAAACCAGCAUCCCUCAAUCAGUCCUGCCAUAACCAUCUAGGUGAGGGGGGUUGUUGAUGGAAAAAGGUAAGAAAGAAAUUUGCAAACUCCCCUGUUGGCUUCACAAUAAUUCAUGCUCAUCUGCAUCUAAUAAAAUAUGGAAGCAAUUUUACAGAACAUUUUGUGCUUUAUCGAUUCAUUUAACUCUUUCCUCCAGGGGGCAAGUCGUAUAUCCUCAUCCAGAUAUGUGGGAAGUUCCGUGAAUACAUCUGCAAAUAUCUUAAGAUGAGAUGCUCCUCUCCCUGCUGGGAACCUGACUCUAGUGAAGGAAAGCUUGAAAGUGAACACCAACCGGGCUUAUCCUGGCCUCCUCUCUACCCAUGGUUUCGUGCCCCUGUGUCUGUCCCACUGCCAACGUGACCUGAAAUUGCUAGAGGAGGGCUUCUAAGAGAUGAGCUGCUGUCCAUCCCAUCAGUCCUCUACACCAGACCACCAGGAAGGACAGAUGCUCAGGUGCCACAGCCGCUGCCACCGUCCCCCAAGAUACCACGAACAGUCCCUUCACUGUUUCCAGCUGUGUCUGCCUCUGUGAGCUGCCCCCAA